rnacentral:rRNA from 1 species
CCUACGGGUGGCAGCAGUGGGGAAUCUUCCGCAAUGGGCGCAAGCCUGACGGAGCAACGCCGCGUGAAUGAAGAAGGUCUUCGGGUCGUAAAGUUCUGUUCUUAGGGAAGAAGUCUGAGGUGGUGAAUAAGGACUUAAGGUGACGGUACUUAUGGAGAAAGCUCGGGCUAACUACGUGCCAGCAGCCGCGGUAAGACGUAGGUAGCGAGCGUUGUCCGGAAUUACUGGGCGUAAAGGGCGUGUAGGCGGGAACUUAAGUUAGAUGUGAAAACUCCGGGCUUAACCUGGAGACCGCAUUUAAAACUAGGUUUCUUGAGGGCAGGAGAGGAAAGUGGAAUUCCUAGUGUAGCGGUGAAAUGCGUAGAUAUUAGGAGGAACACCAGUGGCGAAGGCGACUUUCUGGACUGUACCUGACGCUGAGGCGCGAAAGCAUGGGGAGCGAACAGGAUUAGAUACCCGGGUAGUC